ACUAAAACGACUGCUGAAUAACCGUGUUAGGUCACGUUACCAGAUAAAUUGUGCCGGUCAGAUGAAUUUGAAGACUCGUUUGUACAAUGCUGAAGAAAUAUAAAUUAGUCUGGACGAAAACUAGGACAACAAUUAUGAUGUUGAUAUUCUAAAUGCAAAAUUCGUAAGUUGGACGUAAAUGCUAUACGAAGAUGCUCGUGAUAGAAGUAUAAAAACGUAGACUACCCUCCAUACAACACUAUCUUGGUGUACUUUGUCACAGUUUUCAGAGCCACCAGAGAGGUCGUCAUAAAUUUUGGAACAACAAAAUCUAGAAGCGAACGGUACGUUGACUUUUGGACCCACCAAUAACACGAGCUGCAGCAGCCAACAAACGCGAGAGGGUCAAUACGCCUUUUUUUCCUUACCGUCUCGUCUUGUGUCAGUCUUCCAAGGGUUUCCGUUCCGCAAACUUGACUUCAUCCACGAGUCUGGACUUUCUUCUUUAUCGUUCGCCAGAGUUCGUCAAUCGUCUUCGUAUUCCAA